rnacentral:rRNA from 1 species
AAUGAACGCUGGCGGCAGGCUUAACACAUGCAAGUCGAGCGGGGUGAUGGUGCUUGCACUAUCACUUAGCGGCGGACGGGUGAGUAAUGCUUAGGAAUCUGCCUAUUAGUGGGGGACAACAUCUCGAAAGGGAUGCUAAUACCGCAUACGUCCUACGGGAGAAAGCAGGGGAUCACUUGUGACCUUGCGCUAAUAGAUGAGCCUAAGUCGGAUUAGCUAGUUGGUGGGGUAAAGGCCUACUAAGGCGACGAUCUGUAGCGGGUCUGAGAGGAUGAUCCGCCACACUGGGACUGAGGCACGGCCCAGACUCCUACGGGAGGCAGCAGUGGGGAAUAUUGGACAAUGGGGGGAACCCUGAUCCAGCCAUGCCGCGUGUGUGAAGAAGGCCUUAUGGUUGUAAAGCACUUUAAGCGAGGAGGAGGCUCUUUUGGUUAAUACCCAAGAUGAGUGGACGUUACUCGCAGAAUAAGCACCGGCUAACUCUGUGCCAGCCGCCGCGGUAA